rnacentral:rRNA from 1 species
GGAAGUACUUGCUACUUUGCCGGCGAGCGGCGGACGGGUGAGUAAUGUCUGGGAAACUGCCUGAUGGAGGGGGAUAACUACUGGAAACGGUAGCUAAUACCGCAUAACGUCGCAAGACCAAAGAGGGGGACCUUCGGGCCUCUUGCCAUCAGAUGUGCCCAGAUGGGAUUAGCUAGUAGGUGGGGUAACGGCUCACCUAGGCGACGAUCCCUAUCUGGUCUGAGAGGAUGACCAGCCACACUGGAACUGAGACACGGUCCAGACUCCUACGGGAGGCAGCAGUGGGGAAUAUUGCACAAUGGGCGCAAGCCUGAUGCAGCCAUGCCGCGUGUAUGAAGAAGGCCUUCGGGUUGUAAAGUACUUUCAGCGGGGAGGAAGGCGUUGAGGUUAAUAACCUCAGCGAUUGACGUUACCCGCAGAAGAAGCACCGGCUAACUCCGUGCCAGCAGCCGCGGUAAUACGGAGGGUGCAAGCGUUAAUCGGAAUUACUGGGCGUAAAGCGCACGCAGGCGGUCUGUCAAGUCGGAUGUGAAAUCCCCGGGCUCAACCUGGGAACUGCAUUCGAAACUGGCAGGCUAGAGUCUUGUAGAGGGGGGUAGAAUUCCGGGUGUAGCGGUGAAAUGCGUAGAGAUCUGGAGGAAUACCGGUGGCGAGGGCGGCCCCCUGGACAAAGACUGACGCUCAGGUGCGAAAGCGUGGG